UGCUCCCCCAGCCCCCCCACAACGCCUCCCCCAAAUACCUCGCCGAGGUAUUAAAAAUAUUUCAUAACGAAUGGAAAGGUGGAAAAUCAUUCCCAGCCGUGCGGAGGGCGGCUCGCCCCCCCCCCUCCUCCUCUGCCUGCCUUCAACCUCGGGGGGAGGAUGGGCGGGGGUGGCAGCACCCCUGGGCCUCCCUUCUUCCCUCGCAGGUUGCGCCCGUGCGCAUCUCCGCGCGCAUCAGCCCCCCCUCCCCCCGCGCCUCCCUACCGCGCAACCCGCGCACCCCGCGCAGUGACCCCACGGCGAGUUCGAGUCCCGCGGGGAACGGAUCCCUCCGAGCUGCGGGGGUUGCUCUGGGGACGGCCUCCAGGGAUUUGUGUCUGAUUCGGUUUUAUCCCUUUCUGACACUUCUUUUUUUCUCGCUGAAGGGCAGCGGCGGUGCUCUGGGGUACGGGGCGAGGGGAUGCGAGGGGACCUCGGCUGCGCUCUGCCCGAGGAAGGGACCUUCUCUCCUCUUUAUUUUCUCGGCUCACUUUAACUGAUCCAUCCUGACACUCUAUUUUGCUUUCAAAUCAAGUAAAGAUGUGGGAGAGAACUUUUGAACUGUUUUAUGGAAAGUGGAGUGAAGCAAUGCUGCAGUGAGGGCUUUUUUCCUCCCUCGCCGGACUGAUGCGUCCGGCCCUGCACCUCUGAUGCCCAAAGCCUUUUGCAGCUCAGGGUGUGUACAGGGAGGGGGAAACGAAAUGUUUUGGUGGCAUUCGGCCCGUGACAGCCGGCGCAUCCCGGUGCCUCCCGGAGCCCCUCUGCACUUGGACCCCCACCGGCCCGGAGCUGCCCAAGGCGCAGGCGGCCAACGGCAGCGCUUCCAAAAAGUCGGGAUGAAAAAGUUGAAGGCUUAAUGUUUUCUGACAGAUACAAAUGAUACCCCAAGGCUUUCUUAAAACGCGGCGAAUGACGGGAGGAGAAAGGGUUUUCCUAUUCGGGUUUCUGCAGCUGGAAGCAAACGGGGUGGGGGGUUCUCCUCGGCCCUCCUGUCCCGAAAAUUAAACCAUCUCCUGGAAUAACUCCGUUUUUCCCAAGUGCCAUUCGGCACAGCCCCACUCUGGCUCUGCUCCGUGGCCUUCUCCGCAUCCCUCAGACCACGAGCACCGAGCCAUGCUCCGAGCAAAUCCGAAACCGCUGUCAGCAGCCGCUCGGGUUUAGUCCUGGUUGUCCGCAGCCUGAACCGAGUGGGAUCAGCAAUGCCACCGCCAGAGGAUGGACAGCUCGGGGUGCGCGGGCUGCUUCUCUCGGUGGGGAGGGGGAAGGAAGGGGGAAAGUGCCACAUAGUCCCACAAUUCCCUCUCCGAGCAGUGGGAACAUGCUUUUCUUAUUAAUUGAUGGAGGAAGGGGCACCGGCGCUUGCAAGGCAGCCUGCUCAUGUUACUCUGUGCAUCUCCAGGUCCGAAAUGUGUUUGGUUUGUGGACUAAAAAAGAUGCCUCUCGUGCAGGGCAGUCCAAGGCCCGCGCGAUCCGUUGGCAUUUUAUUGUGAUCGUUCUUCUGCAGAAAAAGGGGCUGCGUUUGGUACCACCGAUGCUGCGUUUCCUUGUGGGUUUCCCUCACCUUGUUUCGGGCGAGCAACCUCUUAAUUGCUGCAGCGUUUGGAUGGGGGAAACGCAUUUCCCCUAAACAGAACAUUUCCUGAAGGGCUGAAAUAUUCUAAUAACGCGCUUUAAUGUCCUCAGAACAGCCGUGAAUCUCUGCAGGGCCACGCGUUUCCUGCCUUAAAAAGCAAAAUCGGCGAAACAAUUCACCUUUGUGUGCACUCAGCACCCUCUCUUCUAUUUUCUUUUCUUUCCCUCCCUUCUUCCCCUCCUCCCCCCUUUUUCUUAUUUUUCCUCCCAUAGAUGCUCUGCGCUGCCCCGCGAUGAGGAGCGGGGACGACUUUCUUUCCAGUUUCAUUGUGGGAACGGCCGUAUCUUAACGGGCACAUCUCAGCGAGAGAUAGGAGAACACCACCGCCUUCCAGAGGGCUGCGCUAAUCAGCGCACGGGGCAAGAUAUAAAAGUUCAGGGCAAAUAAAACGAAUUAGUUUUAUUAGCACGUUUAGGAGGCGGUCUAACGAAGGAAUUCGGCUUUACUAGAGAAUGUUUUCUCCACCCCUUCUGUUAUUUAAAAGCAGCAUCUAUGCGGGCUGAUCGGGACGGGGGGGUGGGGGAGAAAUAACGCACCGCUCAACCCGCAGUGAUUUUCUCCGAGGAACGCGCCAUUCUCUCCACCCGGUAAGGAGCACAGAGCCCGGGAAAUACACGAUUUCACAAUGCAAUCUGCUCGAACAAUAAAACCAGUAGUAAAGGAGAGGCUCGGGGCCGAUCAGCGGCGGCUGUCGGGGGGAAAUCUCUGCCCCGCUCAGGGAUUCGUUCGGCUGAACCGCGUCCGGGGAACGGUGCCACCGCUCCGGCUCGGGAUGUCCAGGACUCGGCCCGUAUUUCAGGCACCAGAAGGAUUUUGGGGACGUUCUCCAAGCGAAGCAGCUCUCAGCAAUUAUUUGGACGUCGGGUUUUAGCUCAGAGGCGCAGGGAACGCAUCCCUGGGUCUGGGAGGCAGAAAUUACGUAUUUUAAGACUGUUAGGAAAUAAUCAAACGGCGUCUCGGUCCUCGCUAUCCGCACUGGGGUACCUCGCUAGGCACAUUUUUUUUUUUUUUGUUCAAUUCGUGUCUCGGCGUUUGUGUUCGCCUACAGCGAGGUCGGCAAAACUUAAGGAAUAAGGACGAAAUGACAGAAAACGCUCCUAGGGACGAUUUUUUACGCGACACCUGAAAAUUCUCCUAAGGGUACCGUCGGGGAGGAACUCCGCGCGUCCAUUCAACGGAGUUAACACGAGGGAAUAGAAGCCUUUUUCCACCGCUCCGAGAAUUUCGCCUCCGUUGGACAGAGCGGAGUUGCGGGACAUCGCUGGAGCGUGGGGCUUCCUAAAGGUGUGCCCAUUUUUUUUUUUUCAAUCAGAAAGUAAAUAACAACAAUAAUAAUAAUAAUAAUAAAACACACACACGCAAAGGAGAAAAAAAAAAAAGUAGGGGAACGGAAGAAUUUUCUUGUUCCGAAAAGGGAAUUAAUUGAACGGCAGCUCAGGCUCUCUCCGCCCGCAUCUCUUCCGCGGCCGCGCAGCCCCGGCUGAGACCCCCGCAGCCCCCCGCGCUCCCCAUCCCUCCACCUGUCCCGGCUCGGCCCCCCCGCGCUGCCAUCUCCGGACACCCCCGGGGCCCCGAUCCGACCGCCCCAUCCUAUAGUAGGGGCCGUGCUUUGCUCCGCGUUGCUCCGCGCUGCUCGGGAGAAGAACUCGGGGUUGAAAACGGUGCGCUUACGAUAAAAUAAUAGCACAACAACAACGACGGCGACAAAAAUCUGAAAUAAAGUGAGGUAACCCCUUUGGAAUUGCGUUUCCAUGCGUAUUUGUCAGUGCUGACGAAGCGCAGAGGCCCUGAAAAGAAUUUACGCGCUAGAACGAUGCCAGGGGCCGCGGCCGUGCGCGGGGCGCGGUGCUGCGGGCGGACGGCGACGCGGAGCGAGAGAAGCCCUGAAGAAACGCUACUGCUGCAGUGUUUGGGAAAGUUUUGAAGUUUCAGAUGCUUUGCUUCCAAUGCGUGCCCCCCUCUUGGGCUUUGGAGAGCCUAACGGGUCAUUCUGAAAAGAGCAGCGUGCAAGGUCCAGGCAAGCACUGCAGUGGGGACAUGGCUUGUGCUUUGCUAAGGACAGAAGGAUACACAUGCACGUACACCCGGCCCAUAGCCACAGCCGAAAACCAAGGACAACGAAUAUGGAAUGGAUCAGAAAGAUAAAUAGCAUAAAAUCAGGAACAGUCCGGUCCCACACUUGCCAUUUGUUAUAGAGAGAAGAAGUAAAUGGGAUUCACAUGUCGAGCAUUAGCUGGUUGUUAGUCUGUAAGAUAAUAUUAACUUUAGUGCUUGCUGGUUUACUCCAGUUUUCCGAAGGCAGUUCCAGGAGGCGCCCAGCCUGUAAUUUAGGAUGGCACAUACUGUGUGAAAGAGGCUUUGGCACUGGGGCCUACCAGCACAUCAAGGUGAUAUUAACAUAAUAAAACGUUUGGAGAGCGAGUGGGAGCUCAUAAAUUAAUGCAUUCUACUGUUUUAAUGUGAGGAGCUAACAAUACGUUUCCUGUUGGGCUGAUCGUCCCGCUGCAGCCUAACAGCUGUUUUAAAGGUGCUGUGAAAUUAAAGAGAGGGAAGACGAUUGUCUUUAAAUCAAUGUUUAAUGAUGUGUUAUUAGGAGAAUAAGUCUUCCUCCAGCAGAUGUUUACAUGCAGAGGAUGGAGGGAGCUUCCCCGGCUGUCUGAGUGCCUGAGCAGUGUGGAUGAGAUGCCCCCAUGUCCCUCUUCGGAUGGUCCCAGUGUUCCCAGUGCAGGGUCAGGAAGGCUUGGCGGAGGGCUGGCACUGGGAAAGGCUUUGCCCACGUCUUCCAGUGGGAGCUGAGGAAACUCCUCCAGGAUACGGAAUGGCCACGAGGUUUUGAGUGGUGGCCAUGGACGGGUGAACAUGGGAAAAGGUAAAGACUUCCUAUUCACGUUCAGCACAGGUCAGGGCUGCUGGGAUCCUUUCCCUGUAACAAACAGAUGUGCAUAUGCACGUGUUGUAAAGAGAUCCCAUGCCUCCUUGCCUAGGAGAUGAUCCUUGCUGGGUAUGUGUGGGUUGGGAGCAUGACUGAGCCCCUGUGGAGGUAGAAUGAGGCUCAGAUAGGUCAGCAGGGCUGAGAUGCCUCUGGCCAUGCACUAACAGCAGGCUUCAGGUACUAGAAAAAUACAUGUACCUUUGAGGCAAGACUUGGGAGUGAGCUCUGGAAUGUGGUACCUGAAAUAAGGUACCUGCAAGCAUCAAUCUGUAGGCGCCCAAGACUUGUAAUUUCUUUUCUGCUUGGCCUGAAGAUGUAUGAAUGAAUCACCAUGUCUGUGGGUUUAAAAGAUGGCCAUCAUAAAGCUUCCCACCUAGAGAAAACAUCUGGCGGAUUCAGAUGCCAAAAGUACGUGGGGGUCGAUGCUGGGGAUGGCACAGGGUUGCUGGGGGCUGAUGGGAAGGUUCACCUGCUGCUGGGCACCUUAUUGUCAGGUGAACUCCUGCUGCAGGCCAUAAGAGCAUCAGAUCAUCUCCAGGCCAACCCAAGCUGUUUCCCAAAGGGUUGCUUCCAAAACCAAGCGUGGUGGUACAAAUUGCUCCUAUGCAAACAAAGGAACCCCUUGUAAGUGCUUACUUUCAUCAUCACAAACGUUCAUUAAAGUCUCUCUUUAUUUCCAAAUAUAGCAAAGAAAUGGCUCUCCAAGAUUGCCUGCUCCUUUAUUCAUGAUCUGUUAGUGCAUCUUUGGAAUAGUGUCCAGGAGGCUGCACAGCUUCUUUGGGAGAAACGGGGAUGUUUGGAACAUGAGUGGAUUCUAACAUUUCUAAACUUCCCAGAAGAGGCAGAUUGUAAAGGAAUAAGAUUCUUUCUGUGCACGCACAUUUGCUUUGGAGCCAAAUGGAAAGGAGAGCUCAGAAGAAAAAAAAAUGACAAAUUGUCUGGAAAAUGUUGUCCUUCCCAAGGCAGAAUGGGGGGGAACCAUAUGGAGGGAAGGCACUCAAUACCAAAUUUUUCCCUUUCAAUCCCAGUCCAGCAGCCCUCCCAUUCACUCUGCUAGGGGAUUGCUGUGAGUCAGACCCACAAGAUCAUCCAUUCAAAGCUGGUCAUAUUUCCAGCACUUCACUCCUCUCCUAUUCCCUGCUGAAGCAAGAUGGAAAGGGUUCCCCCCUCCCCAAAUGUAUGGUGAGAGCAGUGGGAUGGGACCCAGGGCCGUCCCCAUCCCUGCCAGUGAAGGAAAGGGCAGAGCUCCUCCGGUGCUCUGAAGCAGUGAUGAUAGACGUGGUUUCUUUCUGGACAAAAUGAGUGAUGUGUUGUGAUCUUGGUGGUGAGCUGGAGCACAGAAAGUACUUCCUAUGACAAAGAAACUCCUUCACUCCAUUCAGUCAUCAAACUUACCAUCUUUGUCAUCUUCAAGUAAUAAAUAAGCUCAAUAUUUUAUGCGUUCCCAACUAUUAAUGGUGACAUUUAUUGAAGAACAACAAAAGCUGCAGCAGUUGUGUACAUCAGCAGUUAACAGCAGUGGGCAGAGCGUGCAAGACUCUGAAGAAGACGUUGGGGAAAGAGUUUUUGUGUGUGGUUGUGUUUAUCCCCUGGUGACACGCCGCUAACAAGCUGCAAAGCAGAGAUCACCCACAACAAACAAACACAAACAAACAAAGUUUUGUGGAGGGUGGUAAGACUUAGUUUAAUUCUCUUAGGCCUUUAAAAAUAAUUAUAGCCCUGUUUGUGACAACUGGGAUGGCCACAUCGACUCCAAUAAAACUGCUUGUUAAUCUUUAGGAGUUACAUUUGGAGAUCUUUCCUUACACAGUGGGGACGCCAAUGGGGGUUGAUCACAAUCAAUGCAACGCAUCAAUGUGCAUCUCUAAUUGCAUCUCUCCUCUUUGCACGAGCAGUAGUUUUGACUCUGCAAAUUGUGGUCAGCUGUUUACUUGCCAGUUAAGUUGCAACACGUUUAAUGACUUACAAGAGAUCUGUCAGAGGACUUACUGCUGCCAAAGAACAGGAUCUGGGGGAUUUUAGCAUUAGUGAAAAGUUACUUAAGGUCUGCAUGUCAAUCCAAGUAUCCCUGCUGCAGUUAUAUUUCAUGCACUAUAGACUGUGUGAGAAGAUGAUAAAUGCCAUAUAUGCCUGAAGGAUAACAUGUACCCCAUGUUCUCAAAAUGCAUCAUUGCAUUUGGCUCCAGAUGUGCUGUGUAUUGCUUGGCUGUGCUUUGCCAGCACAGCAAUGUUGUGGCUCACACACUUUCAGGGUGCAGUGCUGAGUCUUCACGUGCCACCUGUGAGCCCUUGGCAACUGCCUUGGUGGGAAAAGGGAUCCUGCGUAGAUAAGCAUACUCAAUUCCACCUCUAGCUGAGAACCAUUUAGAUCUAUAGAAUCAUUAAGGUCAGAAAAGACCACUAUGAUCAUCUGUCCAACCAUCAACCCAUCACCACCACAUUUUGGCUUUAACAGGGAGUGACUAAACACACAUUUAAGGGUAACAAUGUUCUCACUUAUGGAGUGGCAAGUGAGAUCAUAGAAGUGCCAUCUUUGGAGACCUAUCACUGAGUAUUUCCUUUGCUCCUCCCACUGGGGAGGCUUUGAGCUGGGACAGGGGGCAGGAGAGCAGACAGGAGCAGAGCUGCGUCAGCUCCUGCCAGUGAGACCAUCUCCAUGCGCCAUCACUGCUGUAUCUGUUACCAUUAAUGACUUCUACAGUUGCUCUAAGACCAUUUAAGUACUUUGUGACGAUCUGAAACUCACCUCCACCCUGCACACGGGUCCCAAGUGUUAAUUUUUGGAGGUGAGCACGCUGGCCUGGGAGGGGCAAUGAGACAGGGAUUUAUUUGGCAGCGGUUACACCGCCUCCUGGCAGCAUCCGUGAGGCCUCAUACAAAUGAGAACUGAUGGCUUAAUGUUUUGUUGCAUUUUCCCACCAGAGUCAUUACCUCUUCAUUGUGGGGAUGGAUUAAACCGAAGAGGGGAUGCUCAGGGAGAGGCUGCCCUGUGUUGGCCUUGAGCUGCCAUGCCUCUGCCCCCUGCUCUGCCUCCUGCAUCCUCCCCUUGCUGCCCCUGCACAGAAACUCCAGCGUGCACAGAGCACCUCUUUGUCAGGGAGCUGUAGAGAGAAAUAAGGUCUGAAGGUAUUAAAGGGCUGAGCCCUGUCCUGCUGAAACAUGGUGGAACUGAACCAAAAAUACUUGCAGCAAUGAGAAAGCAUCCAUGGAUCUCAAGUGAAUGAACUUGGGUGCAGACAUGUUUGGAAAACCAAUGAAUUGUCCUUGUGCAUAUCUUCAAAAUACCACUAGCACUUUUGCUUUCCCAAGGGGAUCAUCUACAGCAGAAGACUAACCUGGGUCCCUCCCAGCCAUGGGGCUGAUCACAAGAUAAUCACCAGAACUGGGUACCAGGUCAGAAUUACACACCCAUGUGGAAUGCGUUUGCAGAAGAGAAGUCCUCAUUUGCCUGUGAGCAAGGGAACAAAGGCAUUCAUCCAGCUCAGUGAAACGCCGUGAGAUCCAUGGGGGAAAAGCACUAAGUAUUGCAAUUAUUAUUUACUAUAUAUUAAUAUUAGCUAUUCAGAGGAUUUGUGUGUGGAGGAAACUUGGAGGAUCUGGUCUGGUUCUGUGUGUGUCGGGGCUCUUGAGGGAUUUUUUUAGUGUCUACCAUAAUUAAAGAUGAGGACUGAGUGAAACCUUGUGGUUUUACUCCACAAGACAUUAAGUUCAGUGAACUAUUCCCAUGGUUUCCCAAGAAAAGAUGAAAAAAAAUCGUUCAGAAUGUAUUUCAACAGUGAUUCAGCAGUGUGGCAAGAGUGGAGGCUCUGUAGGGAUCACACGUGCCCAAGAGGGAAAGCCAUCAUAGAACAAAGUGAGAGUGUCAGAUAUCUUAAUUCUUCUCUCUCUCCUCAUCCCUGAAGGCAUAAUCCACCUGCUUGCCCUGCACACAGCGCUGGCUUUGCCUCUAUGUUGCUUGCAGUCAUAGGGCCUUUGUGUGAAGUCCACCUGGCUGGGGCUUCCCUUGUUCACCAAAGGAGAGCAGAGCAAUCCUCACCGACCUGAGGGAGCCUGAUUGUCAUGUUUUGAAAGAUGACACGUCCUGCUGGGAGAACAGCAAAAAUUGCCAGAAAACAUUUAAG
rnacentral:lncRNA from 1 species